rnacentral:rRNA from 1 species
UACAGAGGUCUCAAGCGUUGUUCGGAUUCAUUGGGCGUAAAGGGUGCGUAGGCGGCGCGGUAAGUCGGGGUGUGAAAUCUCGGAGCUUAACUCCGAAACUGCAUUCGAUACUGCCGUGCUUGAGGACUGGAGAGGAGACUGGAAUUUACGGUGUAGCGGUGAAAUGCGUAGAUAUCGUAAGGAAGACCAGUGGCGAAGGCGGGUCUCUGGACAGUUCCCGACGCGUGAGGCACGAAGGCCAGGGGAGCAAACGGG